rnacentral:rRNA from 1 species
GAUGAACGCUGGCGGCAUGCCUAACACAUGCAAGUCGAGCGAACAUUUCGGUGCUAUCGGCGGACCGGUGAUGAACGCGUGGGAACUUGCCCUUUUCUGCCGAAUAGUCCUGGUAAACUAGGUUUAAUACCGCAUACGCCCUUUUGGGGAAAGAUUUAUCGGAGAAGGAUCAGCCCGCGUUGGAUUGGGGAGUUGGUGGGGUAAUGGCCCACCAAGCCGACGAUCCAUAGCUGGUUGGAGAGAAUGCUCAGCCACACUGGGACUGAGACACGGCCCAGACUCCGACGGGAGGGAGCAGUGGGGAACCUUAGACAAUGGGGGCAAACCUGAUCUAGCCAUGUCGCGGGAGUGAGGCAGGCCUUAGGGUUGUAAAGUCCUCUCAGCUGGGAAGAGAAUGACGGUACCAGCAGAAGAAGCCCCGGCUAACUCCGUG